AACAAGCUCAAAGUUAGCUCAAAUGGCUCUUUGGGAAUUUCAAGGUCAGGUUUUGCUUUUUGUGCUCCCAGAAAACAACCACCUCUGAAUGUGAAUAAAACAGAUGCUGGAUUCUCCAAAGAUUCCUGGGCAAUAGCCAAUGGUCUUGGUUUUUGGCCCAGCAAAUAGAAAAUGGACAAUUUCUUUAUUCCAAGGAAAAGAACUAUGGAGAUGGUCCACUCAGCAUCAACUGGUAGUGCCAAAGUAAAAAGUUAAGAAAUCCCUCCAAGCAUUGUUAAGGAAGGAAAUAUAAAUCCACAGAACUCAAGUAACCAUUUGCAGUCAAGAUUCUGAUGCCAUAGGGGCUUCCUGCUUUGCUCAUUUCUCCUCCUUUCUGCUGCCAUGUGAAGGACUGGUUUGCUUCCCCUUCCACCAUGAUUGUAAGUUUCCUGAAGCUCUUCCAGCCAUGCUGAACUGCUCCUGGAUGGAAGGGACUUGCCUUGUCUCAGAUAAGACUUUGGACUUGGACUUCUGACUUAAUGUUGAAAUGAGUUAGGACUUUGGAGGACUGUUGGGAAUGCAUGAUUUUGUUUUGAAAUGUUUGGAUAUGAGAUUUGGGAGGGGCCACGGGUGGAAUUACAUGGUUUGGCCAUGCACCCACCCAAAUCUCAUCUUGCAUUUUAGUUCCCAUAAUCUCCACAUGUCGUGGGAGGGAUCUGGUGGCAAGUGACUGGACUGUGGAGGCAAUUUCCCCCAUGCUGUUCUCAUGAUACUCAGUGACUUCUCAUGAGAUCUAAUGGUUUUAGAAGGGGCUUUUCCCCCUUUUCCUCAGCACUUCUCCUUGCUGCUGCCAUGUGAGGAAGGACAUGUUUGAUUCCCCUUCUGCUAUAAUUGUAAGUUUCCUGAGGGCUCCCCAGCCAUGUGGAACUGUGAGUCAAUUAAACCUCUUUUCUG
rnacentral:lncRNA from 10 species